UGCAAAGGUAGCAUAAUAAUUUGGCUUAUAAUUGAAGUCUUGUAUGAACGAAUACAUGGGGAAUAACUAUAUCAACAAUGUAAAAUGAAAUUACUAAAUACGUGCAAAUACGUAUAUUUACAUAAAAGACGAGAAGACCCUAGAAAUUUUUACUAUUUACGUUAACUGUUUUUGCUGGGGCGGCAUAGUAACAUGAAACUUACAUUAUUAUACAAGAAGUGAUAAUUUGCAGAAUGAUUAAAUUACUCUAGGGAUAACAGUAUAAUUUACUAUAGUUUGUGACCUCGAUGUUGGAUUAGGAAGU
rnacentral:rRNA from 1 species